rnacentral:rRNA from 1 species
CGGGCGCACGGCGGAUGCCUUGGCACAGGGAGCCGAUGAAGGACGCGGCAAGCUGCGAUAAUCCCCGGCGAGGAGCACACAUCCUUCGACCCGGGGGUCUCCGAAUGGGCGAACCCAUGCACAGCAGUGUGCAUAUCCCCCCGCUGAACACAUAGGCGGGGGGAGGACAACCCGGGGAACUGAAACAUCUAAGUACCCGGAGGAGAGGAAAUCAAUCUCGAGACUCCCCGAGUAGCGGCGAGCGAAAGGGGACCGAUGGCCAAACCGUCGAGCGGGCAUACCCGGCAGGGGUUCCGCCGACGGGGUUGCAGGGCCGCGCAUCCGGGGGCUGCCGCCCCCGGGCGCAGGUCCGGCUGGGGAGCGGAACGGCAUGGGAGGGCCGGCCGCAGCGGGUGACAGCCCCGUACGCGAACCCAGACCGGACGGCGCGACGCGGUCCCUGAGUAGGGCCGGGCACGUGAAACCCGGUCCGAACCUGGGUGGACCACCAUCCAAGCCUGAGUACUACCCUGUGACCGAUAGCGCACCAGUACCGUGAGGGAAAGGUGAAAAGCACCCCGGGAGGGGAGUGAAACAGUACCUGAAACCGUGCGCCCACGAGCAGUCGGAGCACCUUUAUGGUGUGACGGCGUGCCUUUUGUAGAAUGAGCCAGCGAGUCGCUGGCGCGGGGCGAGGUUAACCGAAAGGGAGCCGGAGCGAAAGCGAGCCUUAACAGGGCGACUUGAGUCCCGCGCCGCGGACGCGAAGCCGGGUGAGCUAUCCGUGGGCAGGCUGAAGCGGGGGUAAGACCCCGUGGAGGGCCGAACGCACGUCGGUUGAAAACGGCGGCGAUGACCUGCGGAUAGGGGUGAAAGGCCAAUCAAACCCGGAGAUAUCUCGUUCUCCCCGAAAUAGCUUUAGGGCUAGCGUCGCGCGUUCACCGCCGGAGGUAGAGCACCGGAUGGACGAGGGGGCUUCGCCGCCUACCGAAUCCAACCGAACUCCGAAUGCCGGCGGCCCAGAGCGCGGCAGUCAGAGCAUGUGGGCUAAGCUGUGUGCUCGAGAGGGAAACAGCCCGGACCGCCCGCUAAGGUCCCCAAGUUCCAGCCGAGUGGCAAAGGAUGUGCGUCCGCCCAGACAACCAGGAUGUUGGCUUAGAAGCAGCCAUCCAUUCAAAGAGUGCGUAACAGCUCACUGGUCGAGUGGACAUGCGCCGACAAUACACGGGGCUAAGCUGGACACCGAAGCGGCGGGAUUUUAAUUCAUUAGAAUCGGUAGGGGAGCUUCCCAUGGGCGGAGAAGCCGGAGGGCGACCGACGGUGGAGCGCAUGGGAGUGAGAAUGCUGGCAUGAGUAGCGAGAGACGAGAGAGUAACUCGUCCGCCGUGAACCCGAGGUUUCCUGGGCAAGGCUAAUCCUCCCAGGGUCAGUCGGGGGCUAAGGCGAGGCCGGUAGGCGUAGCCGACGCGCAGCAGGCAGACAUUCCUGCACCGCGCACGCGGCGCUACGACCGACGGGGCGACGGAUGGGGGUGGCUCGGCGGGGUUCUGGACGUCCCCGUGAUGGAGCGCGGCCCGCGGACCAGGGAAAUCCGGUCCGCACGAAGGGCGAGGCUCCGGACGAAGCGACUGAGCGAAGCGAGUGAGCCCGAGGUCCCUAGAAAAACCCCUAGGCAGGCGCGUGCGCGCCCGUACCGCAAACCGACACAGGUGGGUGGGUAGAACAUACCGAGGCGAUCGGGUCAACCAUGGUCAAGGAACUCGGCACAAUGGCCCCGUAACUUCGGGAGAAGGGGUGCCCGCGCGUACGUGAACGGACUUGCUCCGGGAGCGGAGGCGGGCCGCAGUGGAGAGGCCCAAGCGACUGUUUACCAAAAACACAGGACUCUGCAGAAGCCGCAAGGCGACGUAUAGGGUCUGACGCCUGCCCGGUGCCGGAAGGUCACGCGGAGGAGUUAGCCGAUUCGGCGAAGCCCCGAAGCCAAGCCCCGGUAAACGGCGGCCGUAACUAUAACGGUCCUAAGGUAGCGAAAUUCCUUGUCGGGUAAGUUCCGACCUGCACGAAAGGCGCAACGACUUGGGCGCUGUCUCGACCAUGGACCCGGUGAAAUUGCACUGGUCGUGAAGAUGCGACUUACCCGCGGAAGGACGGAAAGACCCCGUGAACCUUCACUGCAGCUUGGCAUUGGCCGCUGGUCCCGCGUGUAGAGGAUAGGCAGGAGGCAUCGAUCCGGAGGCGCCAGCCCCCGGGGAGCCGCCCUUGGAAUACUGCCCUCGCGCGACCGGCGUCCUAACCCGAGGCCGUCAACCGGCUCGGGGACCGUGCCAGGCGGGCAGUUUGACUGGAGAUCGGAAGAGCACACGUCUGAACUCC